GAUGAAGAACGUAGCGAAAUGCAAUAAGUAGUGUGAAUUGCAGAAUUCAGUGAAUCAUCGAAUCUUUGAACGCACAUUGCGCCCCUUGGUAUUCCAUGGGGCAUGCCUGUUCGAGCGUCAUCUACACCCUCAAGCUCUGCUUGGUGUUGGGCGUCUGUCCCGCCUUUGCGCGUGGACUCGCCCCAAAUUCAUUGGCAGCGGUCCUUGCCUCCUCUCGCGCAGCACAUUUGCGCUUCUCGAGGUGCGCGGGCCGCGUCCACGAAGCAACUAUUACCGUCUUUGACCUCGGAUCAGGUAGGGAUACCCGCUGAACUUAAGCAUAUAAUAAGCGGAGGA
rnacentral:misc_RNA from 1 species